AACCGCGGUUACACGAGAGGCCCAAAUUGACACAUCACGGCGUAAAGUGUGAUUAGAGACACUUCUGAAAUAGAGCCAAAUACCCCCUAUGCUGUCAUACGCCAUGGGGGUUACGAAGACCAACAACGAAAGUGGUUCUAUUGAACUUGAACUCACGACAGCUAAGACA
rnacentral:rRNA from 1 species